GGGUGCGAUCAUACCAACGUUAAUGCACCUGAUCCCAUCAGAACUUUGCGGUUAAGCGCGCUUGGGCUAGAGUAGUACUAGGAUGCGUGACCUCCCGGAAAGUCCUAGUUUUGCACCCU
rnacentral:rRNA from 1 species